GAUGAAGAACGUAGUGAAAUGCGAUAAGUAAUGUGAAUUGCAGAAUUCAGUGAAUCAUCGAAUCUUUGAACGCACAUUGCGCCCGCCAGUAUUCUGGCGGGCAUGCCUGUUCGAGCGUCAUUUCAACCCUCGACCUCCCCUUGGGGAGGUCGGCGUUGGGGACCGGCAGCACACCGCCGGCCCUGAAAUGGAGUGGCGGCCCGUCCGCGGCGACCUCUGCGCAGUAAUACAGCUCGCACCGGGACCCCGACGCGGCCACGCCGUAAAACACCCAACUUCUGAACGUUGACCUCGAAUCAGGUAGGACUACCCGCUGAACUUAAGCAUAUCAAUAAGCGGAGGA
rnacentral:misc_RNA from 1 species